UAAAUAAUACAAAAUCCAAUCUCGUGGAAAAUAAAUUGUGAAAUACAAAUGAUCGUGAAUCAGACUAAUUCAAUUAAAUAUUUUCCUUCUUGACUUUCACCAAGACUUUCCUUAGUUCAAAUUUUAAAUAAAUAUUCUACAGAGAUUUUCCUCUCCUAUGUGAUCUGCAAAUAAAAUUUCAAAGAAAUAAAAUUAGUCAAUCCUAAUUAAUUUUUGUGAAAUUAAUUAACCAUUAUCCACCUCUCUCCCACGUUAAAAAAAACCUGUAUCCCACUCUCGUGAAUCUCUUCCAAAUCGUGAAUCUCUUCCAAAUCUAAACCAUCAAUCAGCCGCCUCAUCUCUAUAAUACUCCUUUCGCAAAUCAAACUCAAUCAAAAAUUUUGAACAGAGGAGAGGCAGAAAGUUGGAUCGACUGCUCCCAAGCCACACACUCUUUUCAAUCCAUUGCUAGUCUCCAUUACUAAUCUGAUCAGAGGUAAUUUCAGAGAAAUCUAUCAUCCCCUUCCAAAAUAAAUUCUCUUUUGACACAUGAAACUCUUUCUGGCAGAAACCGAGAGAAGGGAGGAUAGAAGCCACAACCUCUUUUGUUUGCAGCUACUCGUCCCAAAUUGUUGAAGGUGAUUCCUUGCAAACAAGACGUGAUAUCAAGGGAAAUAAUAUAUUUGUGGAUUAAGCACUCGAGGUUGAGCGGCGACGAGAAUUUGGUGGUGUUGAGCAGUUAAAAUUGAAGUAUUAUUUGGUUAUCUUUGAUUAUGUGCAGGUUGAGCGGCGAGGAUAAUUUGGUGGUGUUGAGCAGUUAAAAUUGAAGUAUUAUUUGGUUAUCUUUGAACUACGAGUGUCGUUGUGUCUCCACACAUGACGUCACUCUUUCUCUUGAACGCUUCCGCUGAGACAUUAUUUUUUUAUUCAUCAUUUAUUUAGCUUUGAACCUAAUUAUUUGGAUAUUUGAAAACUUGAUAUCUUUUGGAUAAAUGUCAAA